rnacentral:pre_miRNA from 1 species
AAAAGUUAAAUUUGUAUGCAGUUGGAACAGCGCCCCUAGCGCCAAACGUAGGCAAGCGUUCCAAUUCCAUACAAAUUUUAGUUA